rnacentral:lncRNA from 1 species
GAAUUUUAAAUAUUUCAAAAUAAUACACUAUUAUUUUUUUUCUUCUUAUGGGUUUAUUGAUUACUAUUUAUCCAGGUAAUUUUAAACAUUCAUGUUCAUUAUGAUGUCAUAUCCUCAAAUUUUCACACAGAGAGGUGUGAAAUGUUUGCUGAAGAGUUUCUACUACAUCUCUGUUAUGGUAUCAUGUAUUGUUCUAAUCUGCCUAAAAAGAAAGCACAAAGAAGAGACUUGAAAAUUUCAUUUUACACAGAAAGAAAAACUAUGCAUGUGAUAUUGUACUUUAAAUUCUCACUACGAUUUUUUUCAUUUAGUGAUAAGCAUUUACACUUUUACAUUUAAAGAGUACUUUUAAAUGUAUUAAUUCAUUAGGUUCUAUCAUUUCUUUAGGUUUGGUCAUUGUUUUGUCAAAGUGUCACAAUGCUGUACCUAUUAUUCUAAGCCUAAAUUACAGUGCAUAGAAGAACAUUUAUUUUAUUGGAUAUUUUGUUCUAUACAUGGAAAAGGACUUUCCAUUUAAGAAACAAUUCGGAGACACACAAAUACUCUGCUGGGUCAGUUGGAUUCAGGACAAUGUUUGCACUGUUACAUAUACAUAUAUACCUGUGACUCCACAAAUAUUUCUCAAAUUCAAACAUCUUACUUUAUUAAUGUCUUAUUUACUUAUGUGUUAAACACAAAUGUCACCAAUAUAUCAUUAGUUACCAACUGAACUAAAUGACUUGCUGGUAAUUCUAAUAUUACAUAAUUCGGAUUACUUCUGAAUCUUAUUUUUGUAGGUAAAAUAUAUAAGUAUACAUGUUUUGUUAAACUUAUAUGUUUAUAUAUUUUUUAAUAUUUUGAUGAACAUCCACUUUGUUAAUCAGAAUCUCAGACAUUCUUUGUACCUUAGUUAGUUAACAAGUCUCAGAAAUCACUAAUAUUUGCCAUCAAGUUUAUAUGGAGAUACUAUAUGCAUCAAGUUUAUAUGCAUCUUGAAAUGACAUUGCAAACUUUAAUAGUUGAAUAACCAAAUACUAUGUUAGAUAAUUCAAACUUGUUCUCUGAAUCACAUAGCAGAAAUAAUUGAAGGAGGCCACAGGUGAGGAGUGGUACCUUACUUGUUGAGAAUAUAAAUCACAUGCCCAAAGUCACAUAGGUACUUAACUCUGAAUCUACAGCUAUAAACAGGGCAUCCAACUCAUAAUCCAGAGCUAUUUGCUUUGCUCUACUAACAAAGUAUAAACUUUCCCUAUAGGAUUUCCUGGCUAAGUCCAUUGAAAAUUUCAAAAGGCUAAUAACACAAAGAAGAGAUAUGCCUAGCACAGCAAUGCUUGAAGACAUCCUUGCCUGAGUUAUAUUCACUGAGUAUCCCUCAUCUUGAGGCAAAAUUUAUUUAGGAACAUCUCAAAGACUUUCAGUGACGUGCCAUUUCCUUUAUUCAUUAUAUUUUACAUUUUAUACUUUAUAUUUUCUUAGAAUUUCUAACAGGAUGCUUUCUGUCAUAUAAAGCCAGAUAAGUAUGAUUAUUUAUUCUCAAUAAAAUGAACCCUUGAUAUUGUCUUACUGUGCUCAAUAUGAAUCACUCCACCUGAUACAUAAAAAUGACAAACAUUUAUAUUUCUUCAUGUAAUACUUACUAAUCAAAAUUUUGACAUGAAAUGUAAACUUGAUUUGUCCUUUUAAAAAGGACUAAAACAGUUUUUAAAAGCAUAGACCAGCACCAGAUCUGCCUUACUGCCCCUUCUUCUCCUCUUUCUAACAUUUUAUCUAGCUGAUUAAUACAACAGAGCACUUCAGCUUUGGUGAAACAUACUUAUUCAAUUCCGCUGAAGAUUAUAGGUUUCAAAUAAUAAAAUUGGAUUUUAUUGAAGAUUGAAGUGUGUAAAUAGAACAUUUGAUGGAAUUUAAUAAAAUGGUAUCCUGCUGGUGGAGGCAAGUCAUUUCCUCUAGUUUUAAGUCGAUUACAAAGACAAGAAGCUAUAUGACUAUUUUGAAUAGAAAAUUUUUGUCUAGAGGAAAAGACUACAUUGAAACAGAAUAAAGAGGAACAUCUACUGUUUUUAACAAAACUGUACCUAAUUUAUAGCUAUUUAAAAAUUCAUUAGAGAUAUUUUCUGGACUGUUUUACUGCUAUACAACAAAUCACUACAGAUAGACACAAAAGACAAAAAUGGAAAACUAUUCAUAAGUUGGUUUUAUCAUAUGAUUAUGGGGAGAGAUUUAUAUUAAUACCCAUUCUGUAACUGUAUUAUGCAAUUUUUCUUUUCUCGUUUUUUAUUGAAAGUAGAAGCAUUUCUCAUAAAUUAUACCCUGACCACAUUUUUCUCCUCCAUCCCAUGUCCCAGCUUCCUAACACCUGCACUCAUCCACAGAUCCAUUCUCCUUCUGUAUCCCUUUAGAAAGGAGCAUACCUCCAAGAAUUGAUUUAAAAAAAUAAAGGCAAAAGCCCUCAUAUUGAGGCAGCACAACUCAAACCCAACAAGAGGAAUAGAGUCCCAAUAACAGGUAAAAAUGUCAGAUAUGCCUGCACCCACAGUUAGACAUUCCACAAAAACAAUAAGCAAACUCCCGUAACUUAUAUGCAGAGGACUUGGUGGAGACCCAUGCAGGCUCCAUAAUUGCUGCUUCAGUAUUUAUGGUCCCAUAGGAGAUUUGCCUACUUGAUCAAGUGUACCUGGUUUUCCAGAUUCCUCCAUCAUUUCUGAUUCCUACAAUCUUCCACAGAGCUUCGUUAAUCCCACAGUUGUUUCUUAAAUGAAACAAAUGACAUCAUAGACUAGAUACAGCAAUAUAUGAUAACUCAUGUUUCAUACAUGCUUAUUUUUCUUAACCAAUUUUAAUAGUUCAUAAAAAGAAAGAUGGAUGGUUUUCCUUUCCCCGCCCAAAAAAGUAGUGAAAUUUAAACUUAUUAAAAAAAUAAUACAAGUUGUUUAAGUAUGGUAUAAAAGUCACACUAAUUCAUAGGAAAUAUAAUACUUUGACUAAUCACACUUUCUUAGUGUGAGUUAUUAUUGCUAUAAUAAAAUGUCAUGGCCAAAAGCAAGUUGUGAAGCAAAGGGUUUAUUUGGCUUCUGCUUCUAAGUAACUGUUCAUCACUGAAGGAACUCAGGAUAGGAACUCAAACAGAACAGGAAUUAGAGGCAGGAACUGAUGCAGAGUCAGUGGAGGGUUCUGUUUAUUGGCUUGCUCAUCAUGAUUUGCUCUGCCUGGUUUGUUUUCUUUUCUUUUUACUUAUUUACUUUACAUAUGGAUCACUGUCUGGUCCCUCACUCUCCUCCUCUGAGAGAAUCCCAUUGGUUAUCCUCCCACCCUGCCACAUCACAUCUCUGCAAGUCUAGGUGCUUCUCCUACUAAGGCAGACAAGACAGCUGAGUUAGGGAAACAGAUUUCCCAGACAGGAAACACAUUUAUGGAUAGCUCCUGCUCCAGUUGUUCAGAACUUGAAGACCAAGCUGCAUAUCUGCCAAUAUGUGCAGAGAGCCUAGGUCCAGCCUGUGUAUGCUCUUUAGUUGGUGGUUCAGUCUCUUAGAGACCCUAAGGGUCCAGGUUAGUUGACUCUGUUAUCCUCCUGUAGAGUUCUUAUCCCCUUUCAGACACAGGAUCCUUCCUCUUAUUAUUCUAUAAGUGUCCUCUACCUCCUAUCUGCAAAAAUAACAGACCGUCGUUAGUAGUGUCAGGAAUUGGUCCUGGUCCAUGAAAUGGGUCUCUAGUCCGGCUAGUUACUUGUUGGUCAUUACCUCAGUCUGUGCUCCAUCCCAUGACACUGAAUUUCUUGUAAGCAUAAUAAAUUUGGGGUAGAAAUGUUAUGAGUGGGUUCAUGUCCCCAUCAUUCCACUGGGGUUUCUGUCUAACUUCAGGAGGUGGCCUCUUCAGGUUUUGUACCCCCACUGCUAUAAAUCUCAGAUAAGUUCACUCCCAUUGAUUCUUGGGAUCCUCCUUAUUACUGAUCCCUGGCAAGUCCCCAAGAUGUCCCCAUCCCGUCAAUGCAGAUUUAUAUUCAUUCUCAUGGUCAUCUGGCCAUCUCUCCUCUCUUGUAUCCGUUUAUUAGCCAUGGACAAACUUGGUUUACCUGAGAUGGGGACUGGAAGUGAAAAAGAGAUGGGAGGGUGCGAGAGAAGGAUGAAGCCAAGACAAGUUUCUGAUCAAGGCUUCGAGUUUAAUAUUAGGUACUGUGUUUAUAUAGAGAAAACCCACAGACCUAUCCUUUGUUUCAGCUGGAUUAUGUUGCAAAGCAAGGUCAUUGGGCAGUCUAUUCUUCUAAGUUCCUAUAGGAAAUUGCAUGGGCAACCAAGGUGGAUGACUCCACCUAGGUCAUCAAGGUCCAUUGUGGCAAGCAAGUGCUCAGGGUCUAUUCAGCCUGCUUAAGGCUGGAAAAAUCCUGAGCUUAGCUGGGAAGGACACACUGUCUCUCCACACACUGGAUUUUGAAUCCCCUUUUCCUGUCCUUGUGCCUAGUUUGCUCCCUCCAUCUAUCUCAGGCUUCUUUCUUAUAUAACCCAGGACCACAAAUCCAAGGA